GAUGAACGCUGGCGGCGUGCCUAAUACAUGCAAGUCGUACGGAAAGGCCCCUCGGGGUACUCGAGUGGCGGACGGCUGAGUAACGCGUGGGAACGUGCCCCAAAGUGAGGGAUAACGCACCGAAAGGUGUGCUAAUACCGUAUAUGGUCUUCGGAUUAAAGCUUCGGCGCUUUGGGAGCGGCCCGCGUACGAUUAGAUAGUUGGUGAGGUAAUGGCUCACCAAGUCGACGAUCGUUAGCUGGUCUGAGAGGAUGAUCAGCCAGACUGGGACUGAGACACGGCCCAGACUCCUACGGGAGGCAGCAGUAAGGAAUCUUCCACAAUGGGGGCAACCCUGAUGGAGCAACGCCGCGUGCAGGAUGAAGGUUUUCGGAUCGUAAACUGCUUUUAUAAGUGAAGAAUAUGACGGUAACUUAUGAAUAAGGAUCGGCUAACUACGUGCCAGCCGCCGCGGUAA
rnacentral:rRNA from 1 species